rnacentral:rRNA from 1 species
CUACCUUUUAGAUUAGAUCUCC